UCAGCUACAAAAUCACUCCUCGCUUCCUACCACAUGCCCGUGGAAAGCGGAGGAAGCUGCAAGGCAAAAGGCUGGGCGCUCCAGAGCAGGUGCCAGCAGCUCUGCGGGACAGUGCCAUGCCCCAAAUCGUGUUGAUCCCCGUAAGAUAAAUCCAUAGGUCUGGCAGUGUGAAUCCUCGGGUAACUCAAGGUCUGCAUCAGAACACGCCGCUGAUUAAGCUGAGGAGGAACCACUCUCUCAAAUCAGCCAUCGCUUUGCACUGCUAAAGGAGGAAUCAAACCUCUGAUAUGUAUAUUAGCUCUUGAACUUCCUUCUUUCGCUCAGGCAAGAUAUGCAAGAUCGCUAGUUUCCAGCAAGUUUUAAAGGAGCCUCAUCACAGGAUUCGAGAAGUACAGACAUAAAGGCUGGGAGGAAUAAGAGAAAAUUAUUUGCCUAGUCCACUUGUGUUGAGGGAGGAGGAGCUGGAACUUUCUCCACU